AUAAUACUCCAUAGAUUAGAGACACUGGAAUGUUCUUUAGUCGAAAGUUCUGGCGCCUUAGGAUGGAUCUGCGGUCGAUUAGGUUGUUGUUGGGGUAACGGCCCAACAAGCCUGUAAUCGAUACGGGUUGUGGGAGCAAGAGCCCGGAGAUGGAAUCUGAGACACGAUUCCAGGCCGUACGGGGCGCAGCAGGCGCGAAAACUUUACAAUGCAGGAAACUGUGAUAAGGGAACUCCGAGUGCCCGUAUACGCGGGCUGUCCAGGUGUUUAAAAAUCAUCUGAAGAAAGGGCCGGGCAAGACCGGUGCCAGCCGCCGCGGUAAUACCGGCGGCUCGAGUGGUGGCCACUAUUAUUGGGCUUAAAGCGUCCGUAGCUGGACCGAUAAGUCUCUUGGGAAAUCCGCCGGCUCAACCGGCGGGCGUCUAAGGGAUACUGUUAGUCUAGGGACCGGGAGAGGUGAGAGGUACUCCGGGGGUAGGAGUGAAAUCCUGUAAUCCCCGGGGGACCACCGAUGGCGAAGGCAUCUCACCAGAACGGCUCCGACAGUGAGGGACGAAAGCUGGGGGAGCGAACCGGAUUAGAUACCCGGGUAGUCCCAGCCGUAAACUAUGCGCGUUAGGUGU
rnacentral:rRNA from 1 species